rnacentral:lncRNA from 1 species
UCAACCAUCUGAAGAAACAGUCGAAUUAAUACAAAAGAAAAAAAUUAUUUUUAUUAUAUUAAAAAAAAAUUACUAUAUAAAUAUCAAAAUAUAAAAAAUAAAAAACGAAAAAAAGUGAAAAUACAACAAAUCAAUCAAGUUGCUAAUAAAAUAGCAGAAGAAAAAUUUCCUCAGCUCGAAAGUAAAAAUAAUUAUUAUCAAAAAAAAUAUAGACCAAAGUUAUAAAAUAAUUAAUAAUGGAUUUAAUCCGAAUUUAAUUUACUUUCAUAAAAAUAUUAAACAACAUCAAAAACAAAUAGCUAUCCAAAGGUUAUGUGGAAUGCAUUUAAAAAAUGAUGCAGAUAAAUGGCUGUUAGAAAAUUGUCUAAAAUUAUUAAAAAACCAUGAAACGCCAAUUCCUCUGGUAAUUUAUGAUGGACCAAGUAUUUACUUAUCAUCCACAUUUGGAUAUAUAUAUAUACCCUUGGAUUUUUGUUUAAACGCCUUUUUUACAUUUUUAGAGAACAAUCUUGAUCAAGCAAGGAAAAUUCGAGCAAAGGUUAUAACAAUGAACUUAAAGCUGAUUUUUUUUUUUUUUUUUAUACCUAUGUAAAUAUGUACCCGCUGCUAUAUAUGUAUAAGUUUAUUUGCAUGAUUAUUGCUCACAAAUACUGAAUCAAUAUAAAUGUGCUUAUGACAUAAAUUACAUUUAACUAACUAUAUAUAUACACUAUUUUUUAUUUAUAUAUUUUUUUUUAUAUACGCAUCCAUAUACAUAUCAUUUAGGUCUUAAAAUCCUUUGAUUAAAUAAUUUGGCCAAAAGUUAAAGACUAAAUCUUAUAUUUAAAACUCAGUUUAAGAAACCAAUAUAACACAUCAUUUUAGUUUGGGUGGUCCAAGAUAUAAAAAAAGUUAAUAUAUAUAUAUAUAUAUAUAUAACGUUAGCACUUUAUGGGUUAAUCUAAAGUGUUAGUUGUUAAUAGCAUUAUUAUAUAUAUGUACAUGGGAGUAUGUACAAUUUUGAGCAACACAUAAAUGCUGACACAUGUUUUUAAUUUAUAUUGUCUGUACAAUAAAUAUUUACUAGUUUUUUUUUUUUUUUUAUUU